AGGGUGCAAACGUUGCUCGGAAUCACUGGGCGUAAAGGGCGUGUAGGCGGGAAGGAAAGUCAGAUGUGAAAUCCCUGGGCUCAACCCAGGAACUGCAUUUGAAACUCCCUUUCUUGAGUGUCGGAGAGGAAAGCGGAAUUCCUGGUGUAGAGGUGAAAUUCGUAGAUAUCAGGAGGAACACCGGUGGCGAAGGCGGCUUUCUGGACGACAACUGACGCUGAGACGCGAAAGCGUGGGGAGCAAACAGG
rnacentral:rRNA from 1 species